rnacentral:rRNA from 2 species
AGCAUAUCAAUAAGCGGAGGAAAAGAAACCAACAGGGAUUGCCUCAGUAACGGCGAGUGAAGCGGCAAGAGCUCAAAUUUGAAAUCUGGCCCCUCCGGGGUCCGAGUUGUAAUUUGCAGAGGAUGCUUCGGAUACGGCCCCCGUCUAAGUGCCCUGGAACGGGCCGUCGGAGAGGGUGAGAAUCCCGUCUGGGACGGGGUGUCCGUGUCCGUGUGAAGCUCCUUCGACGAGUCGAGUUGUUUGGGAAUGCAGCUCUAAAUGGGUGGUAAAUUUCAUCUAAAGCUAAAUAUUGGCCGGAGACCGAUAGCGCACAAGUAGAGUGAUCGAAAGAUGAAAAGCACUUUGAAAAGAGAGUUAAACAGCACGUGAAAUUGUUGAAAGGGAAGCGCUUGCGACCAGACUCGCCGACGGGGUUCAGCCGGGAUUCGUCCCGGUGUACUUCCCCGCCGGCGGGCCAGCGUCGGUUUGGGCGGCCGGUCAAAGGCCUCCGGAAUGUAUCGCCCCCCGGGGCGUCUUAUAGCCGGAGGUGCAAUGCGGCCUGCCCGGACCGAGGAACGCGCUUCGGCACGGACGCUGGCAUAAUGGUCGUAAGCGACC